rnacentral:rRNA from 1 species
CGCAUCUGUGCAUGCAGCAUAUCAAUAAGCGGAGGAAAAGAAACUAACAAGGAUUCCCCUAGUAACGGCGAGUGAAGCGGGAAGAGCUCAAAUUUGAAAUCUUAAAGGGUUUCCCUUUACGAAUUGUAGUUUAAAGAAGUGUUUUCUGUUGAGGUUUUGGUAAAAGUUCUUUGGAAUAGGACAUCAUAGAGGGGUGAGAAUCCCGUAUUUGACCUUUACUUUCAACUUUGUGAUACACUUUCAAAGAGUCGGAUUGUUUGGGAAUGCAGUCCAAAAUGGGUGGUAAAUUUCAUCUAAAGCUAAAUAUUGGCGAGAGACCGAUAGCGAACAAGUACCGUGAGGGAAAGAUGAAAAGAACUUUGAAAAGAGAGUUAAACAGUACGUGAAAUUGUCAAAAGGGAAGCGUUUGACACCAGUGUUGUUUUUCUGAAAAUCAAUUUAAAGAACUGUUUAUGCUAAGUUGUUUAGACUUUAUCAGCUAUCUGCUUAGUUUUGAGCUUUUCUUUAAUGCACUUUUCAGUUAACAAGUCAACAUCAAUUUCUUUUGCUGUAAAAAAGCUUGAGGAAGGUGGCUUGAGAUUCGUCUUAAGUGUUUAUAGCCUCUUGCCUAUGCAGUCGGAGAGAUUGAGGUCUGCAGCGUAGAUCCUUCGGGGCUAAAUGCAUUUGUGCUAAGUUAUAGCAUUUUAUAGACAACUUGUUGACUAUGAUUUGUCUUGUAGCUUACUCGCUUAUGUUAUUUUACCUACGCUUAGGAUGUUGAGUCGUAGAGCACGCAG